CCAUUAAGAAGCUAUGCAACAGCACUAGCCUUUUAAGCUAGAUAAAGGGGACCUUCUCCCCCUUAAUGAU
rnacentral:tRNA from 1 species